rnacentral:rRNA from 1 species
AGAGUUUGAUCAUGGCUCAGGAUGAACGCUGGCGGUGUGGAUAAGGCAUGCAAGUCGAGCGGGUUUAGACCCGCGGCAAACGGGCUAGUAACACGUGGGAAUCUACCCUAGAGUCGUGAAUAACCAUUUGAAAAGAUGAGUAAUACACGAUGUACUCUCCGGAGUAAAGAUUUAUCGCUCUAGGAGGAGCCCGCGUCCUAUCAGCUUGUUGGUGAGGUAAAAGCUCACCAAGGCAAUGACGGGUAGGGGGUGUGAGAGCAUGGCCCCCAGCAUUGGCACUGAGACACUGGCCAAACUCCUACGGGAGGCUGCAGUCGAGAAUAUUCCACAAUGGGGGAAACCCUGAUGGAGCGACACCGCGUGCGGGAUGAAGGCCUUAGGGUCGUAAACCGCUUUUAUUAGGGAUCAAUGUACUGAGCGUACCUAAUGAAUAAGAGGUUACUAACUCUGUGCCAGCAGUAGCGGUAAUACAGAGACCUCAAGCGUUAUCCGGAUUUAUUGGGCGUAAAGCGUAUGUAGGCGGACACGUUAGUCGUGGGUCAAAUUUCAGAGCUCAACUCUGAAGCUGCUCGCGAAACGGCAUGUCUAGAGAAAGUGAGAGAUGACUGGAACUCAUGGUGUAGUAGUGAAAUGCGUUGAUAUCAUGGGGAACACCAAAGGCGAAGGCAGGUCAUUGGCACUUUUCUGACGCUGAGAUACGAAAGCGUGGGUAGCGAAUGGGAUUAGAUA